rnacentral:ncRNA from 2 species
CCGUCCGAGGGGCGCUGCAGCAAAUCCGCCAGGUGCGGACUUUGUCAGGCUCGGAUGGGGCGUUAACCAUACGCAUCAACGGCGCCCAUUCGCA